AUGAAGCAUGGUUGUGUCUUCAGUGCGCACCACCGGAUGAACGACAUGCUGGGACACGCUAUCCCUGAUUUAUGCCGCUUCAGCUUGGAUGAGUCUCCAUCGUGUGGAACCGGACUAGAAAGCUGCGACAAUGAUUCCCGUUGCCCACCGCUAUGGAUCGCGCCAUCCAUGAAGAACACCUGGGACUGGAACCUGGAGGAGGACAUGUCGCCCAUCUAUAACGUCAGACGCAAAUGCGCUAGCCUUCAUGAUUUUAGGACCUGGAAUCAUACCAGCCAAUGGUUGAAGAAGGAUUGGCCCGUGCUGCCGGCUGGCGUCAAGUUUGAUCCCACGGAUCAGGAGCUGAUCGAGCACCUUGAGGCCAAAGUGAGUGCUGACAGCGCGAGAUUUCAGUCUCUCAUCGAUUUGUUCAUACCAACCAUCGACAGCGAGCACGACAUAUGUUACACCCAACUUGAGAAACUUCCAGGUAUCACACUGAGUGGCCUAAGGAAGCAUUUCUUCCAGCGCAAUUCCAGGGCGUUCAAAAGGGGCAGGACCAACUGGGUGAUGCACCAGUACCACCUCGGGGACCUGGAGCAAGAGAAGGAGUGGGAGCUGGUCCUCUUUGUACUACCUUGUCGUCCACUAGUUGGUAUUGUUGUUAACGAUCUUUUGGACAAGCCCAUGACGAUAACGGGGCACAAAGAUCCAGCAGGUAUCUACUGGCCUCUGGCCCACCAUCGUUAG
rnacentral:rRNA from 1 species